ACGGCCAAAGAGAAACUAAAAGAAUGCUUCGUGGUAUAUGCUACUACUGCCGUGGGACUAGUCGACUAGAGCUAGACGAACAAAUAAGCGAUGCGGUUAUUCUCUUCGUUGAACGCAAUAUCAGAUACCCUAGAUAAGCAUAUGAUCCUUACCAAUCUCAGUUAAACAAUGCAAGCACAAAUGCUUUGCUUUGCUAUCUGAUUUUACUUCUGAUAGCAUUUGCCGGACUUGUUUUGUCCUCUCCAAGAAGAACCC
rnacentral:lncRNA from 1 species